rnacentral:lncRNA from 1 species
AAACAGAGGGGAGGAGUUUCAGGGCACAUUGGACCGACCUGAGAGUCACCUGAAUGGAUUUACAGGUGACUCACUGCUGAGCAUAUACAGUUUAAAGUGUUUAAAGUAAAUCAUGUAAAGUCCAGUCAGUAAUCAGCAUUAUAUCAUGAAUCAAUCAGACAUAAAGAAGCAGUGAUUUUAACUCUUCAGGAGAUUUAGUUUCUCUUGUUUGGGUAUAAAAUCGUCUUUAGCAGAUCGGCGCAGCAGCAGCAGCUUCAGAUCUGAGCGAGGGCAGAGAUCUGAUUUAAACGGAUCUGCGUCAUUUCAACAGCCUCAGAAAUGGAAAUGGAGUGUUUUUGUUUGUUGUGGUUCUGCGUCAGAUCUGCAUUCACUUUAUUCAGGCGUGACCGAGUGGAAAAAUACACAUCAAAUACCGUCUGAACUUUAAAGAGCUGUUUGCUUUAUCUCUGCGAUGAACUAACAGCCUCUGAAGAGCGGCGAGAUAAGAGAUGGACGCUUUUCUUCACACUGUCGGAUAUUUGAAAGAUUUAUCUUAACGGUUUGUCCGAGCUCAGGCGGAGAAUAGUGAUGAGAAAGUUUAGAUGGGAACGAACAAGCUCAACGAGAAGUCCAGAUUUUUGUCGUUUCUGAACAAAUUUACUGACCCGGAGAAUCAAGAACCAGAAUGAUCGUCUUUACUGUGACAACCUCAGAGAGAGAGAGGGAGAGAAAGUAGGGCUGGGCGAUAAACCGAAGAUUUACCGAUACUGAAAUUUACGACAAUAACCAACAUCAUUUUGCCGAUAUCGGAAUAUUCGAUGUCAAAAAAAUAAAUAAAUCAAAGUUGUUUUUGGAUGUGUGUAGGUAGGCUAUGGUCUCAUGUCCCUUUAAGACGCUGUCCUACAUCAGAGACGUGACUCCACCCCAUCCAGUCUGUAACAAAGAGGGAAAGACAGGUGAGGAGAUGGAGGACGGUUCGGCUGAAGUAGACGAAGUUAAUGUGAGAGAGGUUGAGCAGCUUGUGGAGUAGUUAUCGUCCAUUUAUCAAUAUAUCAUGAUACUGAUUGGAGGACAGAUCACGCAGCUCUAUGAGAAAGAGCGAGAAACAGAUCCACUGAUGAAGCCGGAGUAGACGGAUGGACGGAGGUUUACAGAAAGAGUCUGAUCUGUUGGACUGUUGGUCCGUCUCUGAUCAGUUCCCCUCACAGGUGGUAAAUCGAAGUCAGCACACGUGAAGAACGGACAAACCCUGAAGCUCUUACAGCUCAGAGAUCUCCAGAGAAGGUUCUGGUUUUAUGGAGGUUUUCUGCCACAGGCCUGAGUCCAGUCUGUGAGGCUGUUAGUGGGAGAGCUGAACCCUACGGGGCGGCUGACCGAUGGUUUUCCACUUACUGACUGUCUGAAGUGUCUGACGGCUACAUGACCGACUGUUCCUGAAGUCUUUCAUUUUUCUCUUCUUUGGAGAUGAAAUGAACUUCUGGAGUCUCAGAAACACAGAUGAGAGCGUCAAACUGGUUAAUUUAGCUUUUCCUGUCGAAAUCAUAAAAUACAAACAUUUUAAUGUUUCUUAAAAGUGUAAAUUUGAUCUUAUCUAGAGGUCUGAUGUGUGUGAGACGACAGGACCAAACUGUGGUGAUUACUGUCUGAAUGAUGAGUCAAAUGACUUUUAAAGAGUUUACCAGGUGUAAGAGCCAAAAUUAUAUUUGUUUAGGAUAUUUUUACUCAGUACGUCACUUCCGGGGAUGGUCACUGAGGGGUGUGGUUUUGGGAUGUUUGGCAGGUUACUUUAAUCUCACCGGUGUGGUCAGACGACGGGUUGUCAAUAAGCUCUGAUGAGUUUCUGUUGAGUGUUUUUCACCGUUUCACUCGUCCUGUUUUAACCUCAUUUCAGUUUUUCACUUUUUCAUUUGAAGGGAAAAGUUCUGGACCUGGAUCAGCGUGUUUUCUUUCUUUUUUGGAAUAAUAAAUCACUUUUUAAC